UAUCGGAACGUGCCUGGAGUGGGGGAUAACUAGUCGAAAGACUAGCUAAUACCGCAUACGAUCUACGGAUGAAAGUGGGGGAUCGCAAGACCUCAUGCUCGUGGAGCGGCCGAUAUCUGAUUAGCUAGUUGGUGGGGUAAAGGCCUACCAAGGCAUCGAUCAGUAGCUGGUCUGAGAGGACGACCAGCCACACUGGGACUGAGACACGGCCCAG
rnacentral:rRNA from 1 species